CUGCAGCGCUCUCGUCUUCUGCGGCUCUCGGUGCCCUCUCCUUUUCGUUUCCGGAAACAUGAUCUCUGCCAUCCCGAGAUCAUCACUCCUAGCCUCCUCUGGAAACUCUCUGAGAGUUGGGGAAUUGUCUCUUUUAUAAGAGGCCUACACAGGCACGAGGUCAUACUUGGGCAGUUUUCGGCUUUGUGAAAAUCUCUCAGAUUGCACCGCACAGUAUACAACUGAUGAACCAGACAACCACAGUCGUUCUUUGGAUUGCAUUUUCUCCUGAGAUAUCAGACGCAUUUCACCAGGGCCACAGAAAGAAAAAUGAAGACCAAGAUACCGUGACAAAUGCCAACUACCUCGUAAGUGCAGAUAUUUUCAGUUAUCUAGGUAGCUAGAGCUUUGCAUAGGUGACAGGGAAGAUGAUGCCAUCAGAUCUGUGCUUCACAUAGAGAAGUCCGGCUUCGAGAUGGAGUCACCGGGGCAUGGUGUGCGGGCAGUCAGUAAAGUGGAGAUGUGAUUACUAGAUCAUUAUGGCAAUAUAAGAUAAAAACAUGCUGCGGGAAGUGAGAAAAACUACAUGCCCCCCCAUGCUGAGUGCCCACAGGAGGCGCACGGGUAGUGCAGGAAAAAGGCAAAUGGCCAUAGUUCCUGAAACCAGCAUAAAUUAAAACAAAAUACAAAUCAUACCCUGGCAAAUGGCAAGUAACAGCCUAUUGCCAGUAUGCGAAUCACGUUGUGAUUUUUUAAAAUUUGUUUUGUAAUAAAUAAUUUGUUUGAA
rnacentral:sRNA from 1 species